CGUAGGUGGCAAGCGUUGUCCGGAUUUAUUGGGUUUAAAGGGUGCGUAGGUGGUCUUGUAAGUCAGUGGUGAAAUACGGCAGCUCAACUGUCGAGGUGCCAUUGAUACUGCAAGACUUGAGUACAGACGAGGUAGGCGGAAUUGACGGUGUAGCGGUGAAAUGCUUAGAUAUCGUCAAGAACACCGAUAGCGAAGGCAGCUUACUAGACUGUAACUGACACUGAGGCACGAAAGUGUGGGGAUCAAACAGGAUUAGAUACCCUGGUAGUCCACACUGUAAACGAUGACUACUCGAUGUUGGCGAUACACAGCCAGCGUCUUAGCGAAAGCGAUAAGUAAUCCACCUGGGGAGUACGCCCGCAAGGGUG
rnacentral:rRNA from 1 species